rnacentral:lncRNA from 10 species
UUGCAGGUGCUCCCAAUGCAAUCACAAAGAUCUUUAAAAGUGGAAGAAGGUGGGAGAGGUCAGAGUGAUACGAAGAGAACUCAGUCUACCACUGCUGGCUUUGAAGAUGGAAGAAUGGGGCUAUGAGCCCUGGAUUGCGGGCAGCCUGCAGAAGCUGGGGCAGAGAUUCCACACAGGCACCUCUAGAAAAUAAUGCAGCCAGCCAAUCCUUAGACUUUAUCCCAGUGAGAGUCAAGUUGGACUUCUGACCUACAAAAGAGAAACAGCUUUUCCUGCUUUGGCAUCAAAACCAUAUCAACAAAAGCCCAAACCAGAACACACAGCUCAGUGGAAGAUGGAUACGCCCAUGUUUUCAAGAUACAGCAAAAAGGCAGCCAUCUGAAAGGCAGGAAGAGAGCCCUUACCAGAAACCGAGCUCUGCUGGACCUUGUCCUUGGACU